rnacentral:rRNA from 1 species
AGAGUUUGAUCCUGGCUCAGGAUGAACGCUGGCGGCGUGCCUAAUACAUGCAAGUCGAGCGGCAGCGGGCUCACUAUUUCCUUGGAAGGGAAUUGUGAGCGCCGGCGAGCGGCGGACGGGUGAGUAACGCGUGGGAAUCUACCCCAAACUGAGGGAUAACUCCGGGAAACCGGUGCUAAUACCGCAUAUGGCCUUCGGGUUAAAGUUUUAUACGGUUUGGGAAGAGCUUGCGUUGGAUUAGUUUGUUGGUGAGGUAAUGGCUUACCAAGACUACGAUCCAUAGCUGGUCUGAGAGGAUGAUCAGCCACACUGGAACUGAGACACGGUCCAGACUCCUACGGGAGGCAGCAGUAGGGAAUCUUCCACAAUGGACGAAAGUCUGAUGGAGCAACGCCGCGUGCAGGAUGAAGGCUUUCGAGUCGUAAACUGCUUUUAUGAGUGAAGAUUUUGACGGUAACUCAUGAAUAAGGAUCGGCUAACUCCGUGCCAGCAGCCGCGGUCAUACGGAGGAUCCAAGCGUUAUCCGGAAUUACUGGGCGUAAAGCGCGCGCAGGCGGCCCGAUAAGUUGGAAGUGAAAUCCUAUGGCUUAACCAUAGAACUGCUUCCAAAACUGUCGGGCUAGAGUCUGGGAGGGGAAGAUGGAAUUAGUUGUGUAGGGGUAAAAUCCGUAGAGAUAACUAGGAAUACCAAAAGCGAAGGCGAUCUUCUGGAACAGUACUGACGCUGAGGCGCGAAAGCGUGGGGAGCAAACAGGAUUAGAUACCCUGGUAGUCCACGCCCUAAACGAUGAAUGUUAGUCGUCGGGAUGCAAGUCAUUUCGGUGAUGCAGUUAACACAUUAAACAUUCCGCCUGGGGAGUACGGUCGCAAGAUUAAAACUCAAAGGAAUAGACGGGGACCCGCACAAGUGGUGGAGCAUGUGGUUUAAUUCGAAGAUACGCGAAGAACCUUACCUGGCCUUGACAUUGAUAGAACCCAGUAGAGAUACAGGGGUGCCCUUCGGGGAGCUUGAAAACAGGUGCUGCACGGCUGUCGUCAGCUCGUGUCGUGAGAUGUUGGGUUAAGUCCCGCAACGAGCGCAACCCUCGUCACUAGUUACUAACGGUUCGGCCGAGGACUCUAGUGAGACUGCCUUCGUAAGGAGGAGGAAGGUGAGGACGACGUCAAGUCAUCAUGGCCCUUACGGCCAGGGCGACACACGUGCUACAAUGGGGAGGACAAUGAGACGCAAUACCGCGAGGUGGAGCAAAUCUAUAAACCUUCUCUCAGUUCGGAUAGAUCUCUGCAACUCGAGAUCUUGAAGCUGGAAUCACUAGUAAUCGUAGAUCAGCCAUGCUACGGUGAAUACGUUCCCGGGUCUUGUACUCACCGCCCGUCACACCAUGGGAGUUGAUUUCACCCGAAGCGGGGAAGCUAAACUGGCUACCCUCCACGGUGGAAUUAGCGACUGGGGUGAAGUCGUAACAAGGUA